rnacentral:rRNA from 1 species
CUUAGAUUCUUCGGAUGAAGAGGAUUGUGACUGAGCGGCGGACGGGUGAGUAACGCGUGGGUAACCUGCCUCAUACAGGGGGAUAACAGUUAGAAAUGACUGCUAAUACCGCAUAAGACCACAGCACCGCAUGGUGCGGGGGUAAAAACUCCGGUGGUAUGAGAUGGACCCGCGUCUGAUUAGCUAGUUGGUAAGGUAACGGCUUACCAAGGCGACGAUCAGUAGCCGACCUGAGAGGGUGACCGGCCACAUUGGGACUGAGACACGGCCCAAACUCCUACGGGAGGCAGCAGUGGGGAAUAUUGCACAAUGGGGGAAACCCUGAUGCAGCGACGCCGCGUGAGCGAAGAAGUAUUUCGGUAUGUAAAGCUCUAUCAGCAGGGAAGAAAAUGACGGUACCUGACUAAGAAGCACCGGCUAAAUACGUGCCAGCAGCCGCGGUAAUACGUAUGGUGCAAGCGUUAUCCGGAUUUACUGGGUGUAAAGGGAGCGUAGACGGAUGGGCAAGUCUGAUGUGAAAACCCGGGGCUCAACCCCGGGACUGCAUUGGAAACUGUUCAUCUAGAGUGCUGGAGAGGUAAGUGGAAUUCCUAGUGUAGCGGUGAAAUGCGUAGAUAUUAGGAGGAACACCAGUGG